AACGAACGCUGGCGGCAGGCCUAACACAUGCAAGUCGAACGCCCUAGCAAUAGGGAGUGGCAGACGGGUGAGUAACACGUGGGAACCUUCCCUAUAGUACGGAAUAGCCCAGGGAAACUUGGAGUAAUACCGUAUACGCCCGAGAGGGGAAAGAUUUAUCGCUAUAGGAUGGGCCCGCGUCGGAUUAGCUAGUUGGUGAGGUAAUGGCUCACCAAGGCAACGAUCCGUAGCUGGUUUGAGAGAAUGACCAGCCACACUGGGACUGAGACACGGCCCAGACUCCUACGGGAGGCAGCAGUGGGGAAUCUUGGACAAUGGGCGCAAGCCUGAUCCAGCCAUGCCGCGUGAGUGAUGAAGGCCUUAGGGUUGUAAAGCUCUUUUGGCGGGGACGAUAAUGACGGUACCCGCAGAAUAAGUCCCGGCUAACUUCGUGCCAGCCGCCGCCGUAACAC
rnacentral:rRNA from 1 species